rnacentral:rRNA from 1 species
AUUGAACGCUGGCGGCAGGCCUAACACAUGCAAGUCGAGCGGCAGCGGGAAAGUAGCUUGCUACUUUUGCCGGCGAGCGGCGGACGGGUGAGUAAUGCCUGGGGAUCUGCCCAGUCGAGGGGGAUAACUACUGGAAACGGUAGCUAAUACCGCAUACGCCCUACGGGGGAAAGCAGGGGACCUUCGGGCCUUGCGCGAUUGGAUGAACCCAGGUGGGAUUAGCUAGUUGGUGAGGUGAUGGCUCACCAAGGCGACGAUCCCUAGCUGGUCUGAGAGGAUGAUCAGCCACACUGGAACUGAGACACGGUCCAGACUCCUACGGGAGGCAGCAGUGGGGAAUAUUGCACAAUGGGGGAAACCCUGAUGCAGCCAUGCCGCGUGUGUGAAGAAGGCCUUCGGGUUGUAAAGCACUUUCAGCGAGGAGGAAAGGUUGGUAGCUAAUAACUGCCAGCUGUGACGUUACUCGCAGAAGAAGCACCGGCUAACUCCGUGCCAGCCGCCGCAGUAAUAC